rnacentral:ncRNA from 2 species
GAUUUAUAAAGAAGUGGCGAGAGACUGGCUCAAUGACCCACUGGCAACCCUCAGAGAGAGAAGGUGCCAAUUCCUGACCGGCUAACAUGGUGUUAUACGGAGAUAUAAAUU